AGCGAACGCUGGCGGCAGGCCUAACACAUGCAAGUCGAACGAACUCUUCGGAGUUAGUGGCGGACGGGUGAGUAACACGUGGGAACGUGCCUUUUGGUUCGGAAUAACUCAGGGAAGCUUGUGCUAAUACCGAAUGUGCCCUUCGGGGGAAAGAUUUAUCGCCAUUAGAGCGGCCCGCGUCUGAUUAGCUAGUUGGUGAGGUAACGGCUCACCAAGGCGACGAUCAGUAGCUGGUCCGAGAGGAUGACCAGCCACACUGGGACUGAGACACGGCCCAGACUCCUACGGGAGGCAGCAGUGGGGAAUCUUGCGCAAUGGGCGAAAGCCUGACGCAGCCAUGCCGCGUGAAUGAUGAAGGUCUUAGGAUUGUAAAAUUCUUUCACCGGGGACGAUAAUGACGGUACCCGGAGAAGAAGCCCCGGCUAACUUCGUG
rnacentral:rRNA from 1 species